rnacentral:tRNA from 1 species
CAGGGAGACAAAACUGAUUUUGAUGUCUAAAUAAAUUGAUUUUUAGACCAAAAUCCUGUCACCUUAGGUCGAUCGGUACCUCAAUUUGAUAAUCAAUUACUGAGAGAUUAGUUGUUGAUAAGCAUCAGAUUCAGUUCCUAAACUUUGUCUAGGUCACACCCCGCAAGGGUACUCCUGGGCCAUUAGCUCAGGUGGUUAGAGCGCACCCCUGAUAAGGGUGAGGUCCCUGGUUCAAGUCCAGGAUGGCCCAUUCGGUGUUGGGGGUAUAGCUCAGUUGGUAGAGCGCCUGCUUUGCAAGCAGGAUGUCAGCGGUUCGAGUCCGCUUACCUCCACUGAUCUACCACCUGAUAGCGAAGUCCAAGGAGAUUCUUCAAAAAGUGAUCUAGAGUUUGUUCUCUAAGAAAAAACGAACCUAGCUUCUUGUCAUCUUUUAUUUUGAAACUAAUUUCCAAGUAAUAGUUGAUAGGACGCUGGGCUCCCUGCAAUUUUAAUUGCAGUGAUUUUCAGCAGAACCUUGACAACUGCAUAGGUGAGUCUAGAAAGAAUAAAAGCAUCUCAUAGAUGCAUUAUUCUUAAAUGAAAUAUAGUAUUCUGAUUUGAAAAAUAAUCAGAAUUACUUAAUUCAGUUUAAGUUUUAAUGCUUGAUUCUUGAGUAAGAGCCGAGACUCUAAACGUACUUUCAUCAUAAAUUGAGAGUUAGAUUUUUGAUUUUAUCUCUAUUUCAUAUAUGUAAAAUCAAAAAGAAAGGUGUUGACAACACUAUUGCGUUUAGAGAUUUAAAU